AAGUUGGUUAUUUGAUCUUUCCUACUGGGUGAUGGAAUAUUUGGAUUUCAGGUAUAGGAGAAAGAGGGAAAAGCUGGUUGAAAGGACUGCAGUUUCGCGCUUGCCUACUAAAUGGGGUUCGUUUAUGGUAUACUGUUAUCGUUCAAAACUGGACGAGAAGAGCAUAUUGCGCUUGUGAAGGGAGACAUAGGGAAUGGGCAGGAUGUUCAUAUGAGGGUUCACUAGGAGUGUUUGACAGGCGACAUUUUUGGAUCAAGGCGAUGCACAAUAUUUUAUUGGGUUUGAUGUAGAAUGUUUGUAUGAUGGAUACUUUUUCAAUGUAGGAUGAUAAAGAAUAUUUGAAAUUAAUAAAUGACAUUUUUAUUAUU